UCGGCCGGGACCGCGCAUGGCGGAGCGGCGCCGGCGGCGGCGGGGCCCGGCAGCGGCGCGGACAGAGGUUGCAGAAUCAGCAUGUCUCUCCAAUAGUUAAAAAGACAGAAGCCGUCUCCGCCAGCCAAGAAACCAGCAAAGAUAUUUCACAAUGGAUGUAGACGAUGAAGAAAACAUGAGUUCGAGCAGCACCGACAUUAAAGAAAACCGCAAUGUGGACAACGUUCCCCCCAAGGACAGCGCCGGGCAGGGCCUUGGCGAGGGGACCCCGCUCUCCAACGGCGGCGGCAGCAGCAGCAGGAAGAGGCCUCUGGAGGAGGGCAACAAUGGCCACUCCAAAUUCCGCCCCAAGAAGAGGAAGAAAACGCCCGGCCCCGUUCUGCCAAAGAACGCCCUGAUGCAGCUCAACGAGAUCAAACCCGGUUUACAGUACAAGCUGCUCUCACAGACAGGGCCGGUGCACGCCCCCAUGUUUGUGAUGGCGGUGGAAGUCAACGGGCAGGUGUUCGAGGGGUCUGGCCCGACAAAAAAGAAAGCCAAGCUCCACGCUGCCGAAAAGGCGCUGCGCUCCUUCGUGCAGUUCCCCAACGCCUCGGAGGCCCACCUGGCCAUGGGCAGGACUCUGUCGGUCAACACGGACUUCACGUCCGACCAGGCCGAUUUCCCCGACACGCUCUUCAACGGCUUCGAGACGCCCGUCCCGUCCGACGCUCCCUUCUACCUGGGCUCCAACGGGGACGGCUCCUUCGGCUCGGGCGGCGACUACGGGCUGCCGUCGUGCGCCGUGGCCAGCAGCCUGUCCCAGUCCCCCCUGCCCCCUGCCUCCCCCUACCCCACGGCCAGCGGCAAGAACCCCGUCAUGAUCCUCAACGAGCUGCGCCCCGGCCUCAAGUACGAGUUCUUGUCGGAGAGCGGAGAGAGCCACGCCAAGAACUUUGUCAUGGCCGUGGCCGUGGACGGACAGACUUUCGAAGGGUCGGGAAGGAACAAAAAGCUGGCGAAAGCUCGGGCUGCUCAGUCAGCCCUGGCUUCCCUGUUCAACAUGCAGCUGGACCAGACUCCCUCUCGGCAGCCCAUUCCCAGCGAGGGGCUCCAGUUACACUUGCCACAGGUGUUAGCUGAUGCUGUUGCACGCUUGGUUGUAGAUAAAUUCAGUGAUUUGACAGAAAAUUUCUCAUCUCCACAUGCACGUAGAAAAGUCCUUGCUGGAAUUGUCAUGACAACAGGUACAGAUGUGAAAGAUGCCCUGGUAAUAAGUGUUUCUACAGGAACAAAAUGCAUCAAUGGUGAAUACAUGAGUGAUCGUGGUCUUGCAUUAAAUGAUUGCCAUGCAGAAAUCAUAGCUCGGCGGUGUCUGCUGAAAUUUUUGUACACACAACUUGAGCUUUACCUAAGCAAUAAAGAAGAUCAGCAAAAAUCCAUUUUCAUCAGGUCAGAGCAAGGAGGGUUUAAGCUGAAGGAGAAUGUGCAGUUCCACCUCUAUAUCAGCACAUCUCCUUGUGGUGAUGCUCGGAUUUUCUCACCCCAUGAGGCAGCACAAGAGGACCAAGGGGACAGACAUCCAAACCGCAAAGCCAGAGGCCAGCUCCGGACCAAAAUCGAGUCUGGGGAAGGAACCAUCCCUGUGCGCUCCACCACCACCAUCCAGACCUGGGAUGGGGUACUGCAAGGGGAGAGGCUGCUCACCAUGUCCUGCAGUGACAAGAUAGCCAGGUGGAACGUAUUGGGUAUUCAAGGAGCCUUACUUAGCCUCUUUGUGGAGCCAAUUUACUUCUCUAGCAUCAUCUUGGGGAGUUUAUAUCAUGGGGAUCAUCUAUCCAGAGCCGUUUACCAGAGGAUAGCAGAGAUAGAAGAUCUACCACCUCUUUAUACACUCAACAGACCUUUACUUAGUGGUAUCAGCAACGCAGAGGCCCGCCAGCCAGGGAAAGCCCCCAACUUCAGUGUGAACUGGACAGUGGGUGACUCAGGCCUGGAGGUCAUUAAUGCCACCACGGGCAAGGACGAGAUGGGGCGCGCGUCGCGCCUCUGCAAGCACGCCUUCUACAGCCGCUGGAUGCGCAUCCACGCCAAGCUUUCCUCCAGCUUGCGCUCCAAGAUCCUCAAGCCCAACCUGUACCACGACACCAAGCAAGGAGCCACGGAGUACCAAACUGCUAAAGAGUGUUUGUUUAAAGCAUUCCUGAAGGCAGGACUGGGAGCCUGGGUGGAGAAGCCCAUAGAACAGGAUCAGUUUUCCCUCACAGUCUGACUCACAAACUGCACAUCACUGGCGAAGGGGAGUUGUUCUGGAGAUUCCUGGUGUCCAGCGUUGCUUUCUGGCAUCUCCACAGCCGUCGAAACAUCUUUCUGCUCUUUGGAGUUGGGUUUCUUUGGGUUUUUUUUGAAACUUCACAGUAGCUGUUUCUGUUUUGCCUAAGUAUUGAAACUCAAUGAUGAUGCAACACAUAAUUGUAUAUUUUGUUAUAGGAAAGUAAUUUCUGGUGUAUUUCUAGAAAUACUUUUACUGUAGAAAACUUGCAGUAAGGCUGUCCUUACUGUGUACAAUGACUCAUUUUUUCUGGGUUAAAAUAAUUUCUUUUUUAAUUCAAUGUCAUCAAGUGCAUGAGGAAAUUAAUAGUUUCUCUAGGUUUUACACCACACUUUUAGGAAGUAGCUUACUUUUUAAAAAAGAAAAUAGGUGACAAAGCUGAUUCUACUCCUCUGUUAACUUGUUUUUCAACUGCAGAUAUUUUUAGUACAUAGACCACAGAGGCGGAAUGGAGUCUGGACAGCUAGUUUUUUUUCCCAAUUCCUUGCUCUUUAAAACCAGCUGCUGAAAAUUUCAUGUCUUUGAUGUAUGUAUUUAUUAGUCUGUGAGCCAGUUUUUAACAUGCAGCUUUUAAUUCUGUUUUUAAAAAUACAUUUACCUCCCAUUUAUACCCAUUGUGAAGUCUUCAUUUUUUUUACCAUUGUAAACUGGAAACACCAAAAUAAUUAUUUGUAAGUUAAGAAGUUUAGUCUAUCACAUGCAGAAGCCUGUUUAGAAGUAGAUGAUUUGUGUAUCCCAGGAACUCAUCUGAAUACAAUCUUAACUGUAACAGCAAUGUAACAGCUUUAAAAAAAUCUGCUCAUUUUAAGGGCACCAAGCCUGAGUUGCCAAAACCAGUGACUACUUGUUGGGUAUUAAUUGCUCUCCUCUAGAAACUCUUGUAACAGAGAAACCAAUUCUUAAAACUUAUUUCCUGUGAGUUAUAUCUGCUUUCAGCCAAAUUGUUGUGUCUGAGAUUCCCUUUUGCCUUUGGGCUUUACAUGUGUGAUGGGCAUCAUGAAGCUCAUUAGGUAAGUUGCUCUCAAAUGUGUGUCCAUCUGUUCUGACUGUUCCUUUAACAAGUGUUUUUCCUGGAGGUGUGGACACUUGUGCUUUAUGUGAAAAUGUAAGAUGGAAGCGAGAUACUGAGGUUUGAUGAACUGCUGUGUAGGAGAAGCACCUCAGCCCCAGCACCCCUGGGGUCAGCAACUCCUUGGGGUGCUGAAGACUUUGGCCAGAAGUGGGUUUACACCAAUCAUGAAUCCUAAGGCAUUUCUGCUUGAGUAGGAGCCCGUUCUCAGCUUUAAAGACCUGAAAAUCACUUGUGCAUGAGUUGGAGGCUCUGGUUCAUGUCCUGGGAGGAAGACACUGAGGUGCAGACAGUGCAUUGGGGUGGUGCUGUGGAAGACAGCAAGCAUUCCUCUGGGAAGACAAGAGAGGCUGUGACCCAGGGCUCCCUCAGGGAAUUGAUGCUUCUGGAGGUUAUUGCCUUUUCCAGAUGCUGGGGAGGAUGCUGCAAUAGAAGAGCUGGAUUAAUUCACCUUUGUGGUGGCUUCAGUCACCUCAUUCAGCUUCUCAUUAAAGCUGAGAGCACUCCCAUGGCCCCUGCAGGCCAGCAGGGCUCUUGGAGUCAUCAUCCAACCCAGGUGCAGGCUGACCUCUUCCAAAACACAAAGGAAUUCAGUGACAUGUGGUCAGAUUCUGCAAGCUCUGGGGCACCAGUCUUGGGAUUGACCUUGUCUUGGUCACGCUGCAGAAGUUCUGUUUGGGGCUGUAACUGGGUGUGUGAACAUGUUUCUUUUUCUGAGGAAAAGGUGGUCCAGCUGUGUGUGUUUCCUUGGAGUCAUUGCUGCUCUCAGGUGAAAUACACAUUUUUAAGGACUCAUUCAAAAGUUGGCCUCUCUCUGAUUUUUUUCGAGGACUAGGAAAGUAGUAGCUCAAACUAAUUUUUUUAAUUAAGUCAGAAAUAUGAACAAAAUAUUUAAAUAGUAUUAUAGACCUAGAUUUUUAGCUGUUGGAAUGAACUAUUAACAUUAAACUAUAAUGGAAAUAUAUUCCAUGACAGAAUCUUUUGACAAAGGAGUUGUGCCAGGUUAUUUGUGAGGAAAAAUUCUCUCGUUGGUAAUUCUGGGAUUUUUAAAAAGAAGCUGUCCAGGGUAGUCUGCAAUCCAUGUCUGUCUUGUGGGAGUCAAUAAAAACUGCUUGGCUUCCUUCAAUCCCUUGUUCCUUCUUGUGCAGCUCACAGUGGAAGGAAGUAGGGAGAGCUCCCUGGAAAUCAGUGUCACUGAGCAAGGAAGGGAUGGCCAUGUAGGUAAUCUCAAGUGAUUGUAAAAAAGAUCAGACACCUCAGCCUCUGGCAGCUGCCAGCUUUUGUAGGAAACCAGUUUUUGGAGACUGAGGGCUCUGGAAAACCUGGGCUGGGUAGGUGGGAGCUGGCCUGCACAGGGAGGCUGUACUGCUGCUCUGGGACAUGCUUCUAUUCCUUUAUUUUUAUUUUCCCCUUAUAUUUGAUUGAAUAUUUAUAUAAUUAUUUUGAUUGAAUAUUUGCAUAAUUGAGUAUUUGUCUCAGGAUCUUCAAAGGACUUAGAGUAACAACUUUAAUGUUGAUGAAUACUUGAAAUUGAAUUUAAGGUGUUUUUUUCUCCAGAUGGCAGUCUGGCUUGUAGUAAAGUUUUAUAGGUUAGGUAAAUAGAUAAUUUUAAAUAUAGAUGUUUAAAAGAAAAUAUGUAUAUAUGUAUAUGUUCUGCAGGAUCAUUUUAAGAAAAUCUGGGCCUAAAGGUUAACACUUGAAAUCUUGCUUAUGGCUGUACUCAGGACUGGUAAUAACUGUAGAUUAUUUACUGAUUGUGUGAGUGUUGUUGUGUAGGAGCUUGUUAGCAGUGGGGGUGUCCAGCUGACUCUGCCCCUGGAGCACCUGGUGAUGGGAACAGGGACUCUGCUGCCUUAGGGAUGUACAGCAGAGGGCUUUCUGUACAGCUGGCAAUUCCCAUUUUCUCCUUGUCUUGGAGAAAUCUCCUCAUGGCUGGUCACUGCACAGGAAGCUCUGGAAUGGAAGGGUUUUGUGUGCAGUUCCUCUAAAUGCAAGAGAACUAGCAGCUGAAAGGCUCAGGGUCAGGGAACUGGGGUUGCUUUUCAUCAGUCCAGCUCUGGAGAUGGGCUGGGAGAGCUGCAGUGUCUGUGCAGGCACAUUUGUGGUGAUUGGGAGUGGGGCUGGUCCAGCCUCAUCCUUAAUGGGCUACAGCUGUGCAGGACAGGUGAAUGCUGUUGAAGGGAACGAGCCAUGGAGUGCCCAGGGGCACUGACCAACCACCAAAGGGAACAGAGGGCACACAGGUGCAGGGCAGCAACAGCAGGGGAUAAAAGGCUGGGUUAAAU